rnacentral:rRNA from 1 species
CCUACGGGCGGCAGCAGUGGGGAAUAUUGCACAAUGGGGGAAACCCUGAUGCAGCGACGCCGCGUGAGUGAAGAAGUAUUUCGUUAUGUUAAGCUCUAUCAGCAGGGAAGCAAAUGACGGUACCUGAGUAAGAAGCCCCGGCUAACUACGUGCCAGCAGCCGCGGUAAUACGUAGGGGGCAAGCGUUAUCCGGAUUUACUGGGUGUAAAGGGAGCGUAGACGGGAGUGCAAGUCUGGAGUGAAAGGCGGGGGGUCAACCCCCGGACUGCUCUGGAAACUGGACGGCUGGAGUGCAGGAGAGGUAAGUGGAAUUCCUAGUGUAGCGGUGAAAUGCGUAGAUAUUAGGAGGAACACCAGUGGCGAAGGCGGCUUACUGGACUGUAACUGACGUUGAGGCUCGAAAGCGUGGGGAGCAAACAGGAUUAGAUACCCGUGUAGUC